CCUACGGGGGGCAGCAGUGGGGAAUAUUGGUCAAUGGGCGCAAGCCUGACCCAGCAACGCCGCGUGAAGGAAGAAGGCUUUCGGGUUGUAAACUCCUUUUCUCAGGGACGAAGCAAGUGACGGUACCUGAGGAAUAAGCCACGGCUAACUACGUGCCAGCAGCCGCGGUAAUACGUAGGUGGCAAGCGUUAUCCGGAUUUACUGGGUGUAAAGGGCGUGUAGGCGGGACUGCAAGUCAGAUGUGAAAACCAUGGGCUCAACCUAUGGCCUGCAUUUGAAACUGUAGUUCUUGAGUACUGGAGAGGCAGACGGAAUUCCUAGUGUAGCGGUGAAAUGCGUAGAUAUCAGGAGGAACACCGGCGGCGAAGGCGGCCUGCUGGACCGCGACUGACGUUGAGGCUCGAAAGCGUGGGGAGCGAACAGGAUUAGAUACCCCAGUAGUC
rnacentral:rRNA from 1 species